AGUGAACGCUGGCGGUAGGCCUAACGCAUGCAAGUCGAACGGCAGCACAGUAAGAGCUUGCUCUUACGGGUGGCGAGUGGCGGACGGGUGAGGAAUACAUCGGAAUCUACUUUUUCGUGGGGGAUAACGUAGGGAAACUUACGCUAAUACCGCAUACGACCUACGGGUGAAAGCAGGGGAUCUUCGGACCUUGCGCGAUUGAAUGAGCCGAUGUCGGAUUAGCUAGUUGGCGGGGUAAAGGCCCACCAAGGCGACGAUCCGUAGCUGGUCUGAGAGGAUGAUAAGCCACACUGGAACUGAGACACGGUCCAGACUACUACGGGAGGCAGCAGUGGGGAAUAUUGGACAAUGGGCGCAAGCAUGAUCCAGACAUACCGCGUGGGUGAAGAAGGCCUUCGGGUUGUAAAGCCAUUUUGUUGGGAAAGAAAAGCAGCAGGUUAAUACCCCGCUGUUCUGACGGUACCCAAAGAAUAAGCACCGGCUAACUUCGUG
rnacentral:rRNA from 1 species